rnacentral:rRNA from 1 species
GGUGAACGCUGGCGGUAGGCCUAACACAUGCAAGUCGAACGGCAGCACAGGAGAGCUUGCUCUCUGGGUGGCGAGUGGCGGACGGGUGAGGAAUACAUCGGAAUCUACUCUGUCGUGGGGGAUAACGUAGGGAAACUUACGCUAAUACCGCAUACGACCUACGGGUGAAAGCAGGGGAUCUUCGGACCUUGCGCGAUUGAAUGAGCCGAUGUCGGAUUAGCUAGUUGGCGGGGUAAAGGCCCACCAAGGCGACGAUCCGUAGCUGGUCUGAGAGGAUGAGCAGCCACACUGGAACUGAGACACGGUCCAGACUCCUCCGGGAGGCAGCAGUGGGGAUUAUUGGACAAUGGGCGCAAGCCUGAUCCAGCCAUACCGCGUGGGUGAAGAAGGCCUUCGGGUUGUAAAGCCCUUUUGUUGGGAAAGAAAUCCAGCUGGCUAAUACCCGGUUGGGAUGACGGUACCCAAAGAAUAAGCACCGGCUAACUUCGUGCCAGCCGCCGCGGUAA